UCCCCUGCUGUGCCUGUCCCCAGCCCAUGUCAGUCCCGCUGGCCCUGAUCCCCAGGAGAAGGGGACCCUUCCCUGAGUCCCUGAGCCAGGACCAGCCCUGGCCCGCUCUCCUGGACAGCACCUGCCGCCUCUGCCUGCUUGCUGCAGGUGAGCAGCUAAGGACAGCUUCUAACAGGAACACCUUCAUGGGGCGCCUCCAAGAAAGGCCUGGCGCUUUCUGUGAACACAGACAAGUCCUGGAAACUCUUGUUCUUCCCAGAAGAGCUUCCUCCCUGGGCUAGGACAGCCCUGCUGCCCUGCCCCUCCUCCGGCCCCACCCCCAGAGUCAUCAGUUCUCCUCCGGGCUCUCAGAGCUGGAGGCUGCAGAGGAGUUGAAGGUUCUGCUGGAGGAGGGAGCAGGGUCUGCAGGACAGGGGUCCCAAGUGCAAGCAGCAGCCAUGCGCUCUGGGCCCUCGGCCCCACUCCGCCUCUUCCUCAGGGUGCUCGGGGCCUUCCUGCUCCUGGCCCCCUCCCUGCAGGCUCAGCAUACAAGGUGGGACAGCCCCGCCUGCACGGAGGGCGUGGUGUCCGUGUCCAGGGGCGGCCGGGCCGUGAUGGCCUGCAACAGCUCCAACGCCUUCACCCACAUCGAGAUCUGGCUGAGUGCCCACGGCCAGCCCAGGCUCAUCUUCAGAGAGGACACCCCGGGAAGCUUCUCCCGGGAAGGGUGGCAGCUGUGGGUUCGAGGGGGCCGGGCUGAGCUGGUCAUCCAGGCUGCCCAGGGCGCCCACGCAGGGCAGUACCGCUGGCAUCUUCGGGGACUGCAGAGAUAUGACAGAGUCACUGUGCUGACUGUCUCAGAGCCCCAGGGCCCGGAGGAGGAGCCAGGUCCAGUGCUGACCGUGUCUCCCCUGAGUGUUUCGCCCCUGCCGCCAGUGGUGUCGCCUUGGAUCCAGAAGCACCGGACCCCAGUGGGCAUGGCCGCAGCUGUUCUCUUUCUUGUCCUGGGCAUUGCUGGGAUCAUUAUGCUCAUCCAGUGCCGGCUCAGAAAUUCCCGGAGGCCCCUCCAGGUGAGAUCAGAAUCCUGAGCUAGAGUGCAGCAGACCUGAGCCUCAGAGGAGUCCCAAGGAAGGAAAUGGUGCAUCCACACUCUUGACUAUUUUGAGCAAGAAGUGACAGAUUUCAGGAGCCCCAGUCACAGGGAGACCCCAGAGGUUGUGCCCAGGGUGUGGUGAGUGCCAGGUGGGAGCUGAUGGAUGGGCCUGGCCUGUGCUGGCCAAACCCAGCAUUGUGAGGCCGAGGGCACCAGGCAGUGUCCCGGGGGGCUUCAGCCUCGUGGUGCCACAGUGAGUGGAGGAUUCCCACUGAGCCCCAGGAAACCUUCUUCUCCCCUUCGCCUGGGACUGUGGAGGGACAUGGUUCGGCCCCCGGCUGUCACGCCCCUCCUCUUUGCUUCCCUUUGCUCCCCGAGGCCCCCGAGGAGGAACUGGGCCAGCUGGUCUCGGCGUCCUCCCCACCCUCGGGUCACCUCACAGCCACUCUGACAGGAGAAGCAGGCGGCUGCUAGCGGCGGCUCCCGUUCCCGUUCUGAAGAAGGAAGCCAUCCUGAUGUGGCAGGGGUCAGGGAAGGCUCUGGGCCCACUGUUUCCAUCCCUGACCUCCCCAGACGCCAGUAACCCACAGCUACACAGCGAGCUCUCCUGCAGAUUUCCCGGGUCAGCCUUGCCAUUUACCAAAUAGCCAGUCUCCAGUGACCCCGGACACCCUGCACCUGCUCAGGGAGAUGUCGGGCCUGCUUGAAUUUAAACCGAGCAGUAGGAAUGAGGUUCGGGUUUAGACCGGUCCCAGGCCUGCAGCUGCUGUAUGACUGGCAUGCCCUUCACACUCUCUUGGGUCGAUUGUGGAGGGCUCACUCUGGGUCCCUACCUCCCGUUUUGGAGGCACAGGUCCUGUUCAAGUAAACCCUCUCUUAAAUGGUCUUGUAAAUCUGCCCAUUACUUAUUUCCAGGGUGGUGUGGGCUCAGAAAAUCCUGUAAAUCUACUUGGGGUUCCUGUCCUGAGUCAUGUGGACAGAGUGGUGGAUUUAAAAAAAAGAACUGUAAACAUAAGGGACUGUUCCACCUGAAGAGCUCCAGAGACCAGGGACUGGCAGAGCUGACCCACAGUUUCUGGCACAAGAACAGCACCCAGCCUUAACUUCAGGGCCACUAGCAGAGCUGCACUUUGCCGAUUUGUGAUUUCUACCCGAGUUGAGUAAAGGAACUCUCAGGGGAUUGGUGAUGCCACCCUGUUCUCAAGAGCCAGUGUUGGAAUGUCCUCAGAUGCAGAAAAAGCUUCUUGUGGGGUUUUGGUUUGGCACUAAAACAAAUGUGAUGGUUUGUUAA